UACGGGGGGAGCAAGCGUUGUUCGGAUUUACUGGGCGUAAAGGGCGCGUAGGCGGCGCAACAAGUCACUUGUGAAAUCUCCGGGCUUAACCCGGAGCGGUCAAGUGAUACUGUCGUGCUAGAGUGCGGAAGGGGCAACUGGAAUUCUCGGUGUAGCGGUGAAAUGCGUAGAUAUCGAGAGGAACACCGGUGGCGAAGGCGGCGACCUGGGUAGAUACUGACGCUGAGGCGCGAAAGCGUGGGGAGCAAACAGG
rnacentral:rRNA from 1 species